AACAUUUUGCAGGUAGUUAUUUUCCUGCUAGAACUUACUUAGGUGUGCUGGGGGAUAAAUGGAUAUUUAUUUACUAGAAUACAUCUAGUAAUCUCAGUACUGCAGGGGGUGGCAAAGGGAGGAGAAUAGAAGCUGGAUAGCUAAGGUUAUUGCUGACAUGGAGGCCCAGGUUCAUAAGUUGAGAGAAGAACUGAUCAAUGUGAACUCACAGCGGAAACAGCAGCUGGUAGAGCUUGGUCUUCUUCGUGAAGAGGAAAAGCAAAGGGCUACAAGGGAACAUGAGAUUGUCGUCAAUAAACUGAAGGCUGAAUCAGAAAAGAUGAAAAUAGAGCUGAAAAAGACUCAUGCUGCUGAGACAGAGAUGACACUGGAAAAGAUAAAUAUCAACAAAGUUGUGUCUGGGCUUGGGUGGCAAGUGUAUGACUCCAAAUGUUAUGCUGCUCCAGCAGAACCAGUCACUCUUGUGGAAGCCAAGGAAUGGGAACAGAAGAAUAUGAAAUCAGUGGCCAACAGCAGGCUGAAGCAGAUUGAGAAGGAAUACACUCAGAAGCUUGCCAAAU
rnacentral:sRNA from 1 species